rnacentral:rRNA from 1 species
UGGGGAAUAUUGCACAAUGGGCGCAAGCCUGAUGCAGCCACGCCGCGUGAACGAUGAAGGUCUUCGGAUCGUAAAGUUCUGUUGCAGGGGAAGAUAAUGACGGUACCCUGUGAGGAAGCCCCGGCUAACUACGUGCCAGCAGCCGCGGUAAUACGUAGGGGGCUAGCGUUAUCCGGAUUUACUGGGCGUAAAGGGUGCGUAGGUGGUCUUUCAAGUCGGUGGUUAAAGGCUACGGCUCAACCGUAGUUAGCCUCCGAAACUGGAAGACUUGAGUGCAGGAGAGGAAAGUGGAAUUCCCGGUGUAGCGGUGAAAUGCGUAGAUAUUGGGAGGAACACCAGGAGCGAAGGCGGCUUUCUGGACUGCAACUGACACUGAGGCACGAAAGCGUGGGUAGCAAACAGG